rnacentral:rRNA from 1 species
GAUGAACGCUGGCGGCGUGCCUAAUACAUGCAAGUCGAGCGAAUGGAUUAAGAGCUUGCUCUUAUGAAGUUAGCGGCGGACGGGUGAGUAACACGUGGGUAACCUGCCCAUAAGACUGGGAUAACUCCGGGAAACCGGGGCUAAUACCGGAUAACAUUUUGAACCGCAUGGUUCGAAAUUGAAAGGCGGCUUCGGCUGUCACUUAUGGAUGGACCCGCGUCGCAUUAGCUAGUUGGUGAGGUAACGGCUCACCAAGGCAACGAUGCGUAGCCGAGCUGAGAGGGUGGUCGGCCCAACUGGGACUGAGACACUGCCCAGACUCCUACGGGAGGGAGCAGUAGGGAAUCUUCCGCAGUGGACGAAAGUCUGACGGAGCGACGCCGCGUGAGUGAUGAAGGCUUUCGGGUCGUAAAACUCUGUUGUUAGGGAAGAACAAGUGCUAGUUGAAUAAGCUGGCACCUUGACGGUACCUAACCAGAAAGCCACGGCUAACUACGUGCCAGCCGCCGCUGUAA